UACAGAGGUCUCAAGCGUUGUUCGGAUUCAUUGGGCGUAAAGGGUGCGUAGGCGGCGCGGUAAGUCGGGUGUGAAAUCUUGGAGCUUAACUCCGAAACUGCAUUCGAUACUGCCGUGCUUGAGGACUGGAGAGGAGACUGGAAUUUACGGUGUAGCGGUGAAAUGCGUAGAUAUCGUAAGGAAGACCAGUGGCGAAGGCGGGUCUCUGGACAGUUCCUGACGCUGAGGCACGAAGGCCAGGGGGAGCAAACGGGG
rnacentral:rRNA from 1 species